UUGAGAAGCUCCGGUGCGCUCACACGCACAGAAUCUGCCGAAAGCGCAGGAGGCGCACGGGAAGUGCUUCUGCAGCCGUGAAGAUCGGAGCAGAUCUCCGGAUUAUUCGCCGUGCUUUUCUUUUCUCUUCUCAUUCUCGGAUCCCAGUUAUUUCCAGUCUGUUAGGCUUUAAAGAGCCAGUAUAGAGCUUCUAUUUGUGGUGGAAAGAGUGGUGUGAGGAGGAAAGCGCACGGUUCUUCACCUGGCUGAAGAGCACAGGAGUGUGAAGGAAAAGGGUGUUGUUCCGUCAGUGGGAUGGUAGAAGGGUGGAGUGGAGUCCAGGCUGAAGGAGCAUGGUGAAACACCAACCGCUGCAGGUCUAUGAGAGACAACUGUGCUUGUCCUGUCUAACAGGGAUCUACGGUUGCCGCUGGAAACGUUACCAGCGCUCACACGAUGACACCACAAAGUGGGAGUGUAUGUGGACCCUCGUCCUCUUCGGGACGUUCACGCUGCUGCUGCUCUGGCUUUACUUCUGGUUGGAGGCGAGCAAUGACUACGGCGAAUUUAACUGGUAUUUAUAUAACCAGUCAGGCGAGUGGAGUGAUGGAACAGUUCCCAUACUGGCCACAACAGCUGCAGGCUUCACUUAUAUUGCAUUUUUAAUGAUUUUGGCUCUGUGUCACAUUGCAGUUGGACAGCAGCUGAACUUGCACUGGAUUCACAAGAUCGGCGUGAGCGCAGCUUUACUGACCACCGUCAUCGGCAUGAUAUCCGUCAGUCAGCUAUGGAGCGAAGAGUGGGAUAUCUUUUCCAUCUCUCUACAAGCCACAGGACCAUUCCUGCACAUCGGUGCUCUUGCUGCAGUUACAGCAUUGGCUUGGCUGGUGGCUGGACAAGUUGCUCGAGCCGAGAAAACCAAAUUUCAGGUAACGGUCGUGCUCAUCUACCUGGUGGUGCUUCUGAGCCUCUACCUGACCCCGCUGUCCAUCACGUCACCCUGCAUCAUGGAGCGACACAACCUUAAAGCAAGGCCUGUUGUCAUUGGCCAGCGUGGGGCUCCGAUGCUGGCUCCAGAGAACACGUUGCUGUCUUUUCACAAAGCUCUGCAGAAGGACGUGAGUGGCUUGGAGGCCGAGGUGGCCAUCAGUCUAGAUGGAGUACCAUUCCUGAUGAGAGAUCGCACCCUGAGGAGAACCACAAAUGUGAGAAAAGUCUUUCCUGACAGGCAGAACACUGAUGCAUCAUUCUUCAACUGGACCGAACUGAGCAUGCUCAAUGCUGGCCAGUGGUUUCUAAAGGAUGACCCCUACUUUACAGUGCAGUACAUGUCUAAGCAACAGCAAUUUGAAGUUGGGAAUCAGUCAGUGUGCAGUCUGGAGCAGAUGUUACAGCUAGCAGCUCGCUCCAACCGCUCAGCCCUGUUCACCCUCCACCGUCCUCCACCGGGGCAUCCACACACCCUGAGCUGGAUCAACCUCACCCUGACCUCCAUCCUGCACUCUGGCAUCCCUCAACACCAGGUGGUGUGGAGUGUGGACUGGAACAGAGAGAUGGUACAACAGCAGGCUCCAGGCUUCCAGCAGAUAUCCACUAAGAUAGAGACGCUGGAGAAUCUCCAUGAGAAAGGCAUCAGUAGAUUAUUGCUGCGCUACAACCAUGUCAGCAAUAAGGAUAUACAGAUGUACACAGCUGGUAACGUGAGCGUGACUCUGUACACCGUGAACAAGCCGUGGUUAUACUCUGUACUUUGGUGUAGCGGCGUGUCGUCCGUCUCCUCUGAAGCACCGCAGAUCCUCCGGAAAGUUCUAUCACCUCUGUGGCUGAUGAGUCCAGAGGAGUACUGCCUGAUUUGGGUCGCCACAGAUCUCGUCUCUUUCGCUCUGGUCCUGGGGAUUUUCGUCUUUCAGAACUAUCACAUGAUCAGGUGGAGGAUGAGUGGUAUGCAUAAGUACAACCCGGAGCAGAUCAUGCUGAGUGCCGCUGUUAGGAGGUCAAGCCGAGACGUCAACAUCAUGAAGGAGAAGCUCAUCUUCUCUGGUCAGCAACAGUAGCAGUUUAACCCCAGAUGUAACCCUUCAUCUUCACCUUAUCUCCUAUCCUGCAUCAUCCUCAUCCAUCCUGCACCUCCCUGCUCCACCCUGAACCGUCCUCAACCAUCCUGAUCCACCAUGCACCAACCUCCUUUAUCCUCAACUCUCCUUCUCCACCCCGCACCAUUCUGAAAAAAAAUUCUCAACCAUCCUGCACCAGCUUGAGCCAUCUUCUCAUUACCUCUCACUGCAUCCAUCCAUCCAUCCAUCCAUCCAUCCAUCCAUCCAUCCAUCCAUCCAGUCGUAGCUCAUAAAUGGCUCUGGUUGCCCUGACCAGUGCUCUUUUCAUGAGGUCAGCGAUGGGGUCGGCUGUGAGGAAAACGGGUUCGACUGCUACACCAAUCAGGGCAUUCACUGAAUCCCACA